rnacentral:rRNA from 1 species
GCGCAACCCUCGUCCUUAGUUGCCAGCAUUAAAGUUUGGGCACUCUAAGGAGACUGCCGGUGUUAAACCGGAGGAAGCGGGGAUGACGUCAAGUCCUCAUGGCCCUUAUGUCCAGGGCUACACACGUGCUACAAUGGCCGGUACAAAGGGUAGCAAGACCGCGAGGUGGAGCCAACCCCAAAAAGCCGGUCUCAGUUCGGAUUGGAGUCUGCAACUCGACUCCAUGAAGUUGGAAUCGCUAGUAAUCGUGGAUCAGCAUGCCACGGUGAAUACGUUCCCGGGCCUU